rnacentral:rRNA from 1 species
UACGUAGGGCGCAAGCGUUAUCCGGAAUUAUUGGGCGUAAAGAGCUCGUAGGCGGUUUGUCGCGUCUGCCGUGAAAGUCCGGGGCUCAACUCCGGAUCUGCGGUGGGUACGGGCAGACUAGAGUGAUGUAGGGGAGACUGGAAUUCAUGGUGUAGCGGUGAAAUGCGCAGAUAUCAGGAGGAACACCGAUGGCGAAGGCAGGUCUCUGGGCAUUAACUGACGCUGAGGAGCGAAAGCAUGGGGAGCGAACAGG